GGCUCACAGAGGUAAAGUCUCUUGCUCAGUAUCACAGAGUUAUCAAAUGGUAAAGCAAGAAUUUAAAUCAAGGUCUUUCAAGUAGUACAAUUUUUCUUACACACGAUUAAUUGAAAACCAUGAGGACUGUCCUUGGCCCACAGGAUUGGAUCUCCUUGCUGUGCUGACAGCUGGAUCUGUUCAUCAACUCACCACCUUUGUCCAGCCCCAUGACCUGGUCAAACCUCAGGCUAUCAAUGUGGUACAGCGGCUCCAGUACCCAGUAAAACCCAAAAUACAACAAAGGAGAACAGAAGAUGCAUGUAAUCUCGAUGUUUGAACGUUUGAAUGAUUGACUGAAAAGAAGACACAAACAAUUUCAAACAGUGUCUCUGGUACCAGGACAAACCAGGAACAUUCUGAUCCUAGAGUUGUUUAAACAAAGACUGGAGAGUACUGCCUUCUUUGGCGUACCAGAACCCACAGUAAAGUGGUAAAUUACUGUGUAACCAGAUGGGACCUUCAAGUCCAACACUAUCAAAUUAUAAAGAAGAAUUUCAGUAGCAGCUCGGAUUACAACCUCACUCACUCCACUGAGCCACUCUGAGUAUUGCAAAACACUUAUAGGAUGCAGGUAUUGCUAGGUCUGUUGUCGUCUGGAUGAUUAUAGCACAAGUGAAACAGAAGACUAAGAGAUUUGAAGGCGUUAAUGCUGGAAAUAGUGAUGGAUAGUCACUAUAUUUCUGAGCUAGGGAAGAAAAUGAGGCCAGAAGAUAAUUUGGAAACCAGG
rnacentral:lncRNA from 1 species